UACAGAGGGGGCCAGCGUUAUUCGGAAUUAUUGGGCGUAAAGGGCGCGUAGGCGGCCAUGCGUGUCUCCCGUGAAAUCCCUCGGCUCAACCGAGGACGUGCGGAAGAAACUGCAAGGCUCGAGUCCGGAAGAGGGGGGCGGAAUUCCCAGUGUAGCGGUGAAAUGCGUAGAUAUUGGGAGGAACACCAGUGGCGAAGGCGGCUCACUGGCCCGGUACUGACGCUGAGGUGCGAAAAGCGUGGGGAGCAAACGGG
rnacentral:rRNA from 1 species